rnacentral:rRNA from 1 species
GAGUGAACGCUGGCGGUAGGCCUAACACAUGCAAGUCGAACGGCAGCACAGUAAGAGCUUGCUCUUAUGGGUGGCGAGUGGCGGACGGGUGAGGAAUACAUCGGAAUCUACUUUUUCGUGGGGGAUAACGUAGGGAAACUUACGCUAAUACCGCAUACGACCUACGGGUGAAAGCAGGGGAUCUUCGGACCUUGCGCGAUUGAAUGAGCCGAUGUCGGAUUAGCUAGUUGGCGGGGUAAAGGCCCACCAAGGCGACGAUCCGUAGCUGGUCUGAGAGGAUGAUCAGCCACACUGGAACUGAGACACGGUCCAGACUCCUACGGGAGGCAGCAGUGGGGAAUAUUGGACAAUGGGCGCAAGCCUGAUCCAGCCAUACCGCGUGGGUGAAGAAGGCCUUCGGGUUGUAAAGCCCUUUUGUUGGGAAAGAAAUCCAGCCGGCUAAUACCUGUUGGGAUGACGGUA